UACGUAGGGUCCGAGCGUUGUCCGGAAUUAUUGGGCGUAAAGGGCUCGUAGGCGGUCUGUUGCGUCGGGAGUGAAAACUUACAGCUUAACUGUGAGCGUGCUUUCGAUACGGGCAGACUUGAGGCAUUCAGGGGAGAACGGAAUUCCUGGUGUAGCGGUGAAAUGCGUAGAUAUCGGAAGGAACACCAGUGGCGAAAGCGGCUUCCUGGUCCAGCACCGACGUUCAGGCACGAAAGCGUGGGGAGCAAACAGG
rnacentral:rRNA from 1 species